AUAUUUCCUACAAAAAUUUAUUAUAUUUCUCUCUCUUCUUUUACUUCUUUCCGCUUCCUCUUCCUCCUCAUUUUUCUUUCUUUUAAUUCUUUCUCCUCCUUUCUGUUCUUCAUUUCUUCACCUCUGUUCUUCCCGUGUCACAGACAGAAUGAGAGAGUGAGAGAACAAAGAGAUCAAGAGAGAGACGAGAGAGAUGAGAAGAGUGAGUUUGAGAGAGAGAGAUGCUGUCGGAGAGGGAGAGAUCGGUCGAGAGAGAGAGUCUGAAACCGAAAGGACCCCAGGAGACCCGAUCCACGGUGGGUCAGCACCGAUGACCGAGCCCGAUUUCCGGUGGGUCGACGGUGGGCUGGUGGCGAGUCGUCGUCCAGCAGUUGAGGGGCGAUUUUCCGGUGAGACCAGAGGCGAUUUCCGGCCGUUUCAGUGAGGUUUUCCGGCGGUUCAAGGCUGGGCUUUUCAAUGGGUGAUUUCCGGCGACUUCUAUUAGUGAUUUCCGACGAUUUUUCCAGUAUUUCUAAGAAAUUCUCAAGAUGAUGAACUGAGACUGCACAAAAAGGUUGUAAGUAUAAAUUACUUACUAAGGUUAAUACUGGAUUUCAAUAGUGUUAUGUUUAUGUUUUAUUUUAAUUGGAUGCGUGAGAAUGAUUAUUGCAUACUGUGAAUAAUAAACCUAUCAAUAUUGGGAGUAAUGUCUCUUAAAGGUUCAGGAUGGGAAUAGUGCAUGAACCAAAAACCUUAAUAAUUAAGAUUGAGAGGAACGUCUCUCAAAGUGUUAGGAGAGUGACGUGGGACGUACUCUGCUAGUGCGAAAAAUAUGCUAAUAAAACGUAAUGUAGGAGGAACGUCUCCAAGAUAGUUGCUAAUCGAGUAACGGCUCAAAAUGAGUGGAGUGCAAUGACUAUAUUAAAUUAUUUAACACUUUGCAAAGAAAACUGUCAUCUCAUCAUUAUGUUAUCUCUCUCCUUAAAUAACACAUAAUACAUGAUAUUGUUGAAUGACAGUUAUCUCACUUAUGUAACUAUGGGGUUGUGGUAAUAACCACCAUCUCAUAGAUGAUCGUGCAAGUUCUGAAGAUAAUGGUUGGGAUAAUCUGCUAGCUUAAAAGAUCUAAAGCUAAUGUAGUUAGGUUUCAUUGUUUUAUAAUUAUUAAUAUUUGUACUCGUUUUUAAAUAACAUAUUUAGAAAUUUACUUGUAUUUAGUAAACUUUCCAUGUAUGCUUUUGUCUCAUUUGUGACAUGUGUUUCAUUGUAAUUAGUGUAAAGGACUUUUAAUGUAUGUCUAGAGGAAUUUCAAUCAACGCUCUAAAUGUAUUGUAAGGAAAUUGUCCUUGAUGUUUGAAAAGAAAAAAAAGAAAAAGAAAAAAAAGAUAAUCAUAUUUUUCCGCUGCAAGUUUUAUCAUCUCUAAAGUAGUAACGACAUGUAAUUAUCCAAACAUAAUUACUUACGCCUUUUUGUAAAAAAGCUGGUUCUUACAUAGGGAUAUAAGAGAGCUUUGAAGCUCUUCUUGUGCUGGCCGAGUGGGUGAAAGUUAGGGAGUGAGAGUUUCUUUUGCUGCUGUUUGGGUCUUGCUGCCGUGAAGACAGAGAGGGGUUGAGAUAUAGUUUCUGCAACCUGUUUGCUGUAGGGAGAGCAGAAGAGGAGAUGGAGAGGAUAUUCUUUUCUUCUUUGCUUUGCUGUUUUAAAAGAAAGGGUGGCCUGCUGUUUUUCUGCAAACAGAAAAAGAGGAGGAAAAGAAAGUUUAAGAGAACUUUCCCUUUUCCUUUUUCUGUUACAAACCGAAGCAGAGAAAGAGUUGGGGUUUCUUUGAGAGUUCUUCUCUACUGCAACCGAGAGAGAAAAACAGUGAGUUUUGAGAGAUUGAUCUUGCUGAAAUUAGAAGAGAAACAGAAGGACCACAAGGACCCUUUUCCUGCAAGAGAGAAACAGAGAAGGACUUUCUUUGUUAGACUCAUUUGCUGGAAAUUGAGAAAUAGAAACAGAAAGAGAGAGAUGAAGCUUACUGUGUUCUGUGAAGAACAUAAACUGCUGCUGGAAGUAAGGAAAGACAAAAGAGCGGAGAGCUGUACGGGUAACCCACUGCUGCUACAAGAAUUUAAAGAGAGAAAUAGAGACAACAAGGAGAAGAGAAGAGCUUGCUAUUUCUGGUUUGCUGUUGUAUACAAAGAAGGGGAUGGGUUCUUUUGGGGUGCUCUUGCUGCUGCUAUACCAACUGAGAGAGAAACAGAAAGGGAGAAAAGAGAGAAGAGCGCUGCUACUGUUUAGCCGAGAGAAAACAGAACAAUAAGGAAGAAGAAGAAGGGAAUUGGCGUGAAAUGUGAAGGGGGGGGUGCCUUCCUUAUAAACACAAUUGGAUGGCUAGGAUAGCUUGUUUUUGAUUUGAUCUAAGGGCUGAGAAAGGUUCUUGGGCAGCAAGUUUGGUGAGGUGUUGCAUAACAUGUGUGAGAAUUAAAGAGAAGAGAAUUAUGUAAACAACGGAGCUGCACCUACAUGGUGAGGUGUUAAUGUAAUUAUGAGCUUGAUAUGAGAAAGAAUCAAAGAAAGGGAAUAGAAGAGAAUUUCAUGCGUGGAUGAGGUGCUUCACAUGGGUAUAUGACUCAUCAAAAGAAUCUUAAGUAAUCAUUAACCUUAUCAUAUAUCUUAUCUAUAACUAACUAUUAUUUAUUUCUAACUUAGAGAACUUAACUAGUACUUAACUUUUAACUAAACAAUUAAUUUUCUAUAGCCUUAUAACUUUUAAGAGCUGGAAAUUAAGGGGCUAAGUUCAUGGAUGGACAAAAUCAUCAGGUAAUGAUGAUUUUGAUAAAAAUCAAAGGCCCAAUAAUUAAUAAUGUUAUAUAUGAAUUUUCAUCCAAAAUAGGCGUACUAUGUUUCGCAGUUUUUUUUGUGCCCUUAACGAAAUUCAAAAAUUAUAAAAUUUGAAAGGUAAAUAGAGGACUUUGAAUAGAGUUUCAUAGUUUUUGAAUCAACUAAAAUGGAGUUCGUUUGACAUUGUUUUCGUCAUUUUAAAGUUAAGGUCCGUUUGAACUUUUAUCAAAUUGAAACUAUAAUUAUUUAUUAAUUAAUGAAUAUUUAUUUUUAUAAACAUUCAUAUUUAUUCUUUUAUCUUAUUAUUAGGUUUUAAAUUCUAAUUUAAGAAGUUUUAUUUUAUAUUUUAAAAUCUGGGCGCUACAUUGAUCUUGGCCACCCAAUUCUGUAUAAAAGAACACCCACCCUUCAGUUCAAUCGCAUAGCAUUUCUUCAGAAAAUUCUCUCAGAAACUCCUCCAACUCUCUCUCGGUUUUCUCUUCGCUCUCUGUUUUCUUCUGGUUUUUGCAGCAAUCUUCUGUGGGUUUUUCUGGGCAGCAAUUUGAUGCUGUUCUUGGAAGAAUUAUAACAGAAAAGAGGAUAAAUCCUCAUCUCUUAUCUCCCUCUCAAACUCUAUAUCUCUCGGAUUAGUCCAGUAGCAGCUAUGUUCUUUCUUCUUCUUGGAUUCUCUCUUUGCAGGUAGUAGGAAGCAAGCCCAGCAAAGAGAAACUGAAAAUAAAACAGAAACUCUCUCCUUUCUCUCUUAUUAUUUUCUCACGGCCAGCACAAAAUCUGGUUCUCCUUCUCUGCUCUGUGUGUGUGUGGGUGAAGAAGAAAAGAAAAGAAGAGAGAAAUCUCUCCCUUACCCUCUCUGUUCUCUUCCGGUUUGUGUAAACAGAGUAGUUCUCUCUUCUCUCGGGUCCUAGGCUAAAAGAAAAGAAACAUCAAAACAAGAAGAAAGGAGGAAGCUCUCUCUGCGUCCUUCACGUGCUCUACGGCUGCCUCAUAAUUCCAGUCAUCCGCACAUUGCCUCACGCUUUUAAAAUUUAUGUCAGUCUCUUCCACGCCUUCAUCGUAGCCACAUCUGGAAAAACAAUCCCAGAAUCAGGUCUACAAGGUACAGACCUUAUGACCUGGAAAAGAUCCGCCGUCGACGACAGCCGCACGUGCCCCUGAAGCACACUACCAGUGUUGUCACGCGCCUCCAUACUCGGCCAAUGGCCUCUGUGAUAGCACUAGUAGACAGGUCAGGAGACUCACAGUCCAGAGACGCCGAGGUCAUCGUCAUCAUAUGUCUGACGCGCCGCCAUGCACCGAGCACAGCUUCAAGCCUUCUGGCCCACGUGUCGCUGUGUUUAGCGAAUUGCAUCCGUGGCCCUGCUAAUAGGUAGAUCCAGCGCUGAAGAUUCUAUAUCUGCCGUGAUCUCUGCCAUCGGACCUUCCACCCGCCUCCACGUGCUGUCUGAAUUCUCUGGUUCUCUGAUUCACAUGCCUCCAUCCUUCCGCACGUGUAUCUCACGCGCCUCCAGUUCUGCUACCUUCGAUGUGUCAACCUAUCAUAAUGCCACAUCAGCCCUACAGGUCACCCGAUCGGGUUUAACCCGUUAUCCAUUUGGAUCGCCAAGUAAACCGACCCUAAGUUGUCAACCCGACCCAGCGGGUUGACCCGGUUUCUUCACAUUUUUCAAAUCGGUCCUACAUUUGUCAACCCAACCCAGCGGGUUAGACUCGGUUUCUUCACAGUUUUCUAACAGCCACUUAAUUUCGGGUCAGACCAUAUUCAAUGGUCCAUGGAUUUUGGCUUAUUUUGGCCCAAUUAAACCGGUCCAAUUUAGCCUAUUUUAUAAGGCUCCAAUCUCAGGCCCAAUACAAGGGCAAAAUAAUUCAUUGCUACUAGCAGCCACCACCAUCCGCGGCCGGCACCAGCAGCCUCCGUCCUUCGCCUCUGGCUCCCCUUCUGGCCAAACUCCGGCGAUUUUUCUGGCAAAAAAAAAAAAAAAUUCCUUUCUUUUUCCCAAACACAAGGUUACACCUUGAGUUUAAGGGGGGAUGUUAGAAUAUUAUAUUAUUCUAAGUUUAUUAUAUUUCCUAAUACGGUUUAUUCCCUACCUUAAUUACUCUAUGGUUUCUUGGUCACUACUCAUAGCCUCUUUAUAUAUAGAGGUCUCUUGUAAUAUGUUAUAAUGAACAAGACUCAAUACAAUGUAGCCCAUUAUUCUCUUCCGCUCGUUCUCUCUUUCACACAUAUCCUCCAUUUCAUAAAGUUCAUUGUUA